GCUCUCUCUAUUGGCAGUACAUAUACUAAAAUUGGAAAGAUACAGAGAAGAUUAACAUAGCCCUUGCACAAGGCCCACUGCUUAUAACAUAACCAAAGGGGUUUU